rnacentral:rRNA from 1 species
GUUUGAUCAUGGCUCAGAUUGAACGCUGGCGGCAGGCCUAACACAUGCAAGUCGAACGGUAACAGGAAGCAGCUUGCUGCUUUGCUGACGAGUGGCGGACGGGUGAGUAAUGUCUGGGAAACUGCCUGAUGGAGGGGGAUAACUACUGGAAACGGUGGCUAAUACCGCAUAACGUCGCAAGACCAAAGAGGGGGACCUUCGGGCCUCUUGCCAUCAGAUGUGCCCAGAUGGGAUUAGCUUGUUGGUGAGGUAACGGCUCACCAAGGCGACGAUCCCUAGCUGGUCUGAGAGGAUGACCAGCCACACUGGAACUGAGACACGGUCCAGACUCCUACGGGAGGCAGCAGUGGGGAAUAUUGCACAAUGGGCGCAAGCCUGAUGCAGCCAUGCCGCGUGUAUGAAGAAGGCCUUCGGGUUGUAAAGUACUUUCAGCGGGGAGGAAGGUGUUGUGGUUAAUAACCGCAGCAAUUGACGUUACCCGCAGAAGAAGCACCGGCUAACUCCGUGCCAGCAGCCGCGGUAAUACGGAGGGUGCAAGCGUUAAUCGGAAUUACUGGGCGUAAAGCGCACGCAGGCGGUCUGUCAAGUCGGAUGUGAAAUCCCCGGGCUCAACCUGGGAACUGCAUUCGAAACUGGCAGGCUUGAGUCUUGUAGAGGGGGGUAGAAUUCCAGGUGUAGCGGUGAAAUGCG